UCCAUACGCAUCAGAAAGAGAGAGAGAGACAUCACUUCCUCUGUGUGUGUGAGAGCGAGAGAGAGCACUUCCUGGUUUUAGAGAGAGAGAGAGAGAGGGGUUCGUGUCUCAAAGGGAGUGACAUAUUCCUCUCAUCAUCAUCCUCUCUCACUCUACUGUCUUCAAGUGAGCUCUGCAACUUGUGCUUCCAAUUCACAUCCCCAGCAAUAAAGAGAGGGGAGAAUGGGGAAGGGAAGGAAGCCGAUCCCGCUUCUCUACACUCAAAACUAGAGAUAGAAAGCAAGGUUCUAGAGAGAGAGAUUGUGUGUGCGUUUGUAAAUUUUGGAGAAUGGGGAGGCGAAGGAAGCGGAUCCUGCCCUGUGCUAAGAAUAUUGGUCUGCCUCUGUUCUACGCGUACUGGGUGCCUCCUGUGAUUGGAGAGGAGAACUCAGAAGAAGAACCAGGCGAAAAACAGAGAGGAAAUGAACAACGCUUCAUUGUUCUUGGAGGAGGAUGAGGCGACAGCCGUACUGGUCUCCAAAACACCCUAUUGAUCGCCCAAUUCGACUUUGCUACCAAUUCUCUCUCUGAACCAGGGAACCAUUGAGGGUGACAUUGCUAUUAUCAAAGCGUCUAAUAUGCAGGUGCAGCGAAGACUCAAAGAGGCACACCUGAUAUUGUUACAUCCAUGGAUUUCUCCCAGGAUUCCAGGUUUUUCUCUUGUCUUGUUCUCAAAUAAUACAUUAUUCUCCAAUAAUAUGCAGGUGCAGCGAAGACUCAAAAGGGGCACACCUGAUAGUUUUUACAUCCAUGGAUUUCUCCCAGGAUUCCAGGUUUUCCUCUUUUCUUGUUCUCAAAUAAUACAUGUUUGAUUUGCAAUUCUUUCAUGGCUUUGGUUUCUGUUUCUGGUGAUUCAAGUGCAAGGGUGACAGUGAUUGAAGACCAGCAUAAUAAGGGUUUGUUUUACAGUUUGUUCUUCUUCUUUUUCUCAUGGUUUGUACUGCCAUGGUUUCGACGGAGGUAUCUGAUUGUGCCUGAUGUUUUUGCAGCUUGGUAUAUCCAGAGUAUCAUAAUCAUCCUCGUGAUUCUUCUCGCAAAAUCUAUGUUUACUACUUGAAAAACCCCUCUCUUCCGUAGCCGAGAUGGGUAACAACUUGCUUCAGCACUGGAGAAUGCUGUAAUUUGUUACGUUAUGUUACUAAGGGCCUUUAAUUUCUUAUAAGAAAUGGUUUACUUGGGUGUACAAAGAUGAUCCUUUUAACAUUUCUUUUUAUUUUACUCUUAAUUCAAAUAUCAAUUUUUUUUGUUUAA